CUUUUUCUUACUCUGAGAAAGCUUAGAUUCUUUGGGGAAAUAGCAUGGAUUCCCUAGCUCUCUUCUUUAGGGAAUGCACAGGAGCUAGAAAAGGCGAUCUCCAGAUUAUGUCACAUGGUGAGGGUAGGGAAGAAAGGAGAAAGGAUGGCAUUUUGGGGAAAUACGUCAGCACACAGUUUUGGGAGGAAGAUUUGCUUACUCAAUUUGUCUUUAAACCAAAGCAUCUGUUUUGGUCAUUAAAGUAAAACAUCUUGGAUGAUUAAAAAAAAUGCCCUAUUCGUUCAUUUUGACCUAUAUAUGCUCCUAGACCACAUUUUGAGAAAUAAUCAAGAAAAAUGUAUCCUCCAAUAAUUUUACUUGCUUUGUCAAUGUGUUCCCAAAUAACAUGACUUGAUUCUUGAUUCUCCCUAAUCCAUUUGAUUACCUUCCUUCCUGCCCUCACCACCUUUGAAAUAAAAACUACUGUUAUCAGCUAAAGAAUCUCAGAACACGCUUUUCUGUUACCAGAACAAAGGGUUAAGCUAAAGGUGUGGUUUACUUUCUAUCCUCUGAGUCAUGGAGCGUAUACAUAUACUCAUCAUUGUCUUUUCUGUUCCUGGCUACUUAUCUUUCUUUCAUCUUCAUCUUUAUCUGUAACCUACAUCUCAUAAGCUGAGUAUGCAAGAUUUUCAGUCCCUCAAAGCAUCAUCUACCCUGGGUAGAGACACAAACAGAUCUGGGGCUGCAGCUGUUGCCUGAGUCUUCUCCUUCCGGACUAAGGGAACUGUAUUCUGCAAGAAAAGCCUACAUGCAAAAAUCACAUUUUACCUGCUCUUUAAUAAUUUCCUUUUCAUCCUUUUCCCAGCCACUUUCUCAAAAACACAUAGAAAGCUUUGCUUUUGGUUCUAAGCUGUAAGGAAUCAAAGAAAGAAGAGAGGAAUGGCAGAAGAUCUAGAUCUGGGGUCAUUGAGGU
rnacentral:lncRNA from 1 species